rnacentral:rRNA from 1 species
UACAGAGGUCCCAAGCGUUGUUCGGAUUCACUGGGCGUAAAGGGUGCGUAGGCGGCCGGGUAAGUCUGAUGUGAAAUCUCACAGCUUAACUGUGAAACUGCAUUGGAUACUAUCCGGCUCGAGGAAUGGAGGGGAGACUGGAAUACUUGGUGUAGCAGUGAAAUGCGUAGAUAUCAAGUGGAACACCAGUGGCGAAGGCGAGUCUCUGGACAUUUCCUGACGCUGAGGAGCGAAAGCGUGGGGAGCGAACAGG